CCGCCCCCGCCCCCUUCCCUCCCGAGACGCUCCAUCCGGGGCGCCGGGAGGGCCGCGCGGUGCCCUGUGCCCGGGACGCACCGCUUUCUUCCCCCGCCGGCUCCCCGGGUCCGCUGGGAGGGCGGCCUCGGGACGGAGGAGACGACGAAAAAGCUUAUGGUGUAUACGUGCUCACCGCCACCCCAGUCCUGCCCGCGUCUCGUCUCGGUGGUGUCAUCAGCACUCUGGGCAAGUUUGGGAAAACUUCCCCAACAUGUUGGAUCUUCAGGAUUCAGGCUGUCUGGAGUCAGGGCGGAAGUCCCCCUUCCCCGUGCGAUGCUCACAGGAACCUGCGCGCAGGGCCUCGCAUCUGCUUCAAGCUGAAGGAGCCCCGGGACUGGCCAGGAGGGGAGUCCGCUGGCCACUGUCGGCAGGCGGAGUGCGGCCGAGCCACUCCGACUCCCCAGCUGGCCUGUGGGCCCCCUCCCCGCCGUGGGCUAUGCCCUCAGCACCUCGCACAGCUUUUAUUGACAAGGUAGAGCCUUGGCAGCGUUGAGAACACUACUGGUUAAAAAAAAACGUUCACCCAGAUCCUGCUUGUUAGUAAAAGUUAUUUCUGUUUUUGCAUCUUUCCCUUCAGUUUUGAGCACACAUGGGCAAAUGUGCCUUGUCACGCUGUUGCCGUCGUGGAGCACACAUCGUGUUCUCUUCUGCCUUGUCCGUUUAGCUUUGCCAUCUACAGGGCUUCGUGUCCAGCGUAACGUCCAGAGUUCCCAUCGUAGAGCAGGCCUGGGCUUCUACAGAACGUAUUGGACCAGAACGUACUGAAAUAGCUCCCUUCUCGUGUCCCUUCCAUUUGCUCCUCUGGCCACAAUUCCAUAAAACAUUCUAAGGGAAAUUUUUAUGCAUGUAACUUUUUGUUUCUCUUGGAUUGUUUCCUCAGAAAAUGUAUCAGGAAUGGAGAUGGUCAUGAACGGUUCGACUGUAGCGUGGAGUCAGUACGAAGAGCGGAGUCGCAGGGAGCGGGUCAGAACCCAGGGGCGGCACCUGCUAGCUGUGUGACCUCGGGCAAACGACUUGACUCUGAACCUUUUUGUUCUGUCCAAAAGACGGGAGUAUUGCCACGUGCGGGGGAUGGUUCCGGAGGGGGACCUCCUCACUGUGGAUCCUCAGGCUUGAAGUUGGAAGAUCAAGUUGCAGAGAUUGUAUCUUCAUUCUGCCACCAACUGGUUAUGUGACCUGGGGAAAGUCACUUGAUCUCUCUGAGC
rnacentral:lncRNA from 1 species